AACAACUAAAAUUUAAAAGGUCACACGUGAAAGUAAAAAAUUGCCGCCAGGUUGCUCCUAAUGUAAUAUAUACCUGAAGUAAAUAACAAUGUUUGUUCCGUACAGCAAGGAAGUAAUAUUAUUGCUUUUUUUGUAAUGUUUGUUUAACAUUUAUUUAUUUCCUCAGAUGGAGACGAGUUUUUGGUUUGGAACUACAAUCGACCAGUUUAUUUUUACUGGCUUAAAAAUUUCAACACCAUUAGGAUUUGCAAUGACGUGCAUAACAAUGAUGUUAUCUGCUUUUCUGUUUGAAGUGCUCAGACUUACUGUUCAAAAACUUGCUGUGAUUCAGAGAUCAAAAAGAAAAAUCACCAUGCAUAGGCUCGUUUGCCCUGGUGACUGUAAUUCAUCAGUAAGUGCCAAGAAAGGAAACCUCAAAAGGUGGCCAAGUUGGGUGAACAUGUGCAGCAUGUGCUACUGUACAUCAUGCAGUACAUCUUGGGAUAUGUCCUCAUGCUAGCUGUGAUGACUUACAAUGGAUACAUCAUGCUGUCUGUGGUGUUGGGUGGUGGGCUUGGCCACCUUGUUAUUGGUCAUGAGUUUCUGAAGCUGCAGUUGAAGAAUGCUGCGGUGAAUAAACAUUGUCCAGCAUGCAAAGAUCAGGGCGGGGAGCUGCAACAGCUUGGAGGUCUCCAUGCCUCGGAGACGGAGGGCCCCGGGCCAGCUGUGGUCAUUGGGGAACGCCCAGAGCCUGGAAAUGAAGAGAGAGACCAUUUUAUAGAACCCUGCACCUGUUGAGGUAGUCAGUUUUCCUAAACCUGGAAGUACUACUUUUAUGCCGCCAUGAGAGUACAGGGUCUUGCUUUUUUCAUUUAUGUGGAAAUUAAUUACAAUUUGGGUAUUUCAUGUAACAAAAAAUGCUUAUAAGCAUGCAUUUUAUGUUGGAGUGUAUAAGUUCAGACCUACUGAUCAGCAGUUAUUAUAAUAUACCUCUGUUAGAGUGUAUCAAGUAAUGCUAUUUAUUUACACUUAACAUGGUGACAAUACAAGGAACAAGGGACAAGAUUUUAUGGCGUAUAACGAUAAAGGUAAACACCAAGAAGUAUAUCAACACAUAAAACAUUGAAAUUCACAGUGUAACUUAAAUGAUAAAAUAAAGCAGAAUUUAAACAAAAUAUAUACACUAAUUCACAUAACAUAAACCAUUGAAUUUCUAUAAUCAUGCACUUCUUAUCAUACAUAUAAAGGUUUGCAGAGACAUAAUUUUAGGGUCAUUCCAUAUGAAAUCAACCAGAGGCCUAAACCUCUACACCUUCGAUUUUCAUGUUUUUUUGUAUAUUGGUAAUAUCAACUAAAUACAUUAUAAAUCUAUUUUUUCUAAAAAAAAAUUUUGAGUAGUUUUUUUUGUAUAAAUAUUUGAAAAUUGCAAAAAUAGCCAAUUUUAGCAAUGUUUUGGAUCACUCAAAUACUUGUAGGUUUCCAACUAAUGGUGCUAGAAGGCUGUUUGACAGCUCAUUUUAAAGGUCAUUGAAUGGGCUUCAAUUUGAUAUGUAACAUGAACAACUUCGGAAAAAAAAAUUAUUUUUAUUUGUUUUCUUAAUUUUUAAUAUUGAAUUUCUAAAAAACACCAUUUUCGAUUUUUUUAAAAAAAAGUAUGUUAUUCCUACAUAUAUUGGUUAGAUUUUUUCCAAAUUUCAAGGUGGAGAAUCAAUGGGAUCAUGAGUAAAUAAAAAUGAGAAGUUUAGUAGAUGCUUAAGGGGGCGUGGUAGAUAAAUAAAUGCUUUAAGCGUCAGUUGGACGUUAUUGGUUUUUGGAAGACAACAUUGAAAAACUGCAAAACAACAAUCCUACAUAAUGUUAUUUGCCAACUUUAUUAGCAGACGUCCUAAAAAGACAAUUCUCGAGCGUUGUUUCUUCCGCAGCAAUUAAAUGUUCGAAAUUACCAAGGCAGAAGUUUUGGCUUCAAGUAACCUUCAGUUUUUAAUUAAUGCAUUUAGCUCUGGUUUAGAUACCAUGCCGCCUUAAGAAAUAGUUGCAGUAAGGAAGAGUAGCAUAAUUUUACAUAAAAUUUAAACUUAGUAAAGUAUUCAAAUUUUAUUGUUAUAGACUAAAAAUUUUUUACAAAUUAUAAAACACGGAUAACAAAUCUUACCUUACAUUCAUCCAGUUUUCUUUGAUUAAACAUUUGAUCAAUAUGAUAAUACAAAGCACGUGAUCUUGCUGAACAGAUGUAGCCUAAGUUCAAAGCACAUGAUCUUGCUGAAAGGAUGUAGCCUAAGUUAUAACUGACAAAACAUGUUACUGUGAAAUACGAUAACUUUUGGUGGCUUCAUGUAUAUUGGUAAAAAAUAAUGAGAAUAAUGAAGUUAAAGUCAGUUUUUUACAUCCCAAAGGACCUGCUGCUUCCUUUUUUUAUCCAACACCAAGAGCCGAUAUACUAGACAUUAGAACUGAAGAUCUUCUUAAAAAGGUUGAACCUUGUACAGCAACUGGGAGAACUUUUACACUCACUAAAGAAGAGAUUGUAGAGACAUCACACCUGCUUGAACGAAGUAUGCCACAACCUAAGUGAAAACUGUAAAUAAUUAAAUAUAUACUAAACAGAUUUUUUUCAUGAGCAAUUGGCUAUUUUUGCAAUUUUCAAAAAUUUAUACAAAAAAAUUUACUCAAAAUUUUUUUUUUAGAAAAAAUAGAUUUAUAAUGUAUUUAAUUGAUAUUACCAAUACACGAAAAAUCAUAUAAAUCUAAAACAUGAAGUUUCUAAAUUAAUUUUUUAUUGGUUGAUUUGAUAUGGAAUGACUCUUUACAAAUUAUUUUACUAACUAAUACAGUCAAACUUCUCUGAAACGACCCCUCACGGUUCCCAGGAAUAGGGUCGCAAUAGAGGGGGGGGUCAAAAUAGAUGUUUUCCGAAAUUUUCAGUCGAUUUCACCCCCCCCCCCCCCCCCCCAAACCGCUACUCGCUAAGAAACCAGCCGUACAAUGGCAGGAUGCUGUCACUCACAAUGCUAGACGGCUUCGCUUUAAACCCACUUCAACCUUCAUAAGUCCGUCGCCCUACAGGCCACCUCUAAAGAAAAUAUGUGUUAGUUUACAUGUACGUUUUCUGCUUUCCGUAGUUAAAUACACUAUAACCCCGAUGUCACGAGCCCCGGAUUUACGAAGCAGUGAUUUUACGAAUACAUUCUCGGGAACCGUCAAAAAAUUGGACAUUUUGACCAAAAUGUGAAAAUCAGGAAAAAAUUAAAAAAAAAAAAAAAACCAAAUGAAAGAUCAUUAAAAUCUGUUAAUUAUAACACACAGCUUAUUUUUGUGUCGGCUUUAAUACUUCCAAUAAUGUUCAUGUAAGAAUAACAAAAAUAUAAUGGGACAUUUCCUUUAAAAAUAUGGCAGCGGUAGGUUCUGCAACGCGAGUGGGCGCACACGAAGCUCGCCCGGCUGCAGCGGCUUCAUGACGCAUAAGCUCACCCCUCCCUCCCCUCGUUCACAUUCUUCAAGGCUAGCUCAUCCCUCCCAGACACACAAUCCAUCUACAGUAGAAUCCCGCCGAUGCGACCCCCCUCUGAUGCGUCCAUUCCGUUUAUACGACCGUUUUUUGAGAAACCGUGAAAAAUUUAAGCAGAGAAAGUCGAAAAUUUGAGUAAAAUCGUAAAAUCGGCUGAAAAACAAGUCUGUUACACUUUGUUGGGCGCUAUGUGUUCACGUUUAUCUUGGUGGGAGCUGUACUGUAAGCAGGCAUGCCUCUUAAAGACGGCUAAAAAUAGAUACCACCCCUCUAGACUGUCCACGCGGCAGUGUCUAGCCGAGCUCGGCGCAUCCACUAUCGCACGAAAAGCCGUCUCAGCUGUCAUGUUAUCUUACCCGCCCGGCGGCUUGACGUCAUACGUGACGCGACGCGACGCGACGCGACGCCUACCUCUCCCAUCCCCUGCUAAUUCUUCAAGGCUCAUCCCUCCCAGAGCCACAAACAUUGUAAAAACAACCCCCCCCCCCCCCCCCUCCUUUACCAACUAACAUUUCAACACAUUCCCUACCUUAUUUCAACCUUCUGCGUGAGAAACUGUCAGCAUCCUCCUCCCCUUCCACACCGCGUGCGACAAAAGCCAGGUUGUAUAGUCCAUUCUCGGUAAAAUAAAUAUUUUUAUGGGCUUAUACGACUCUCCUUCGCCGUUAAUAAAUAUUUUAUAAGUUUAAGUUAUUAUGAUACAAUUUGUUUAUUAGUCACACAGCAGUUUCUGCUGAAAAAUCACUACUACCUCGAAUUUUAUUGAAUAGAAAAAUUUAGCAGGGCCGUAAAUAUAUUUAUUUUACUGCAUAGUUACUUUUCCAUUUGCAUUCCAAUGUUUUUUCUUUUCUUUUACGCUGCGAAGGGACGAGGAAAAGAUAAUUGCUAGAGCUGUCAAAAUAAACAUCGCUGACGGCAGGGCGGGAGCGCAUCUUGUCGGUCUGUCGCUGAUUAUCUACUCCAAAAAAAUGUCACAGCAUUUCAGGAUAGCAUUGUUCUUAUAUCUUUCGUGUAUAGCCGAAUGUUUUCUACCUGGUCCACACAAGUUCCUUCGCCACGUUUUGAACGAAAAUAACCAGCCGGCUAGCAUAGCCGAACUCCCGUGACGCGAAUUCAUUUAGCACGAGUAUUUUAUGUAUUUGGAUAUUUUUUAUUGUAGGU